CUGGACCUCAGGGGCCUUCCUAGGUGACAGCACCUGGAUGUACUAGGAGAGUGACAUUCUGACCCCAUGAGGAGGGCAAGGCAGCUCUGGGACCCUCCCAGACUUCUCCCUGUGUAUCUCCUCAUUUGGCUGAUACUGAAUUGUAUGCUUUGCAACAAAACUAUAAUGGCAAGUAUAUUACUUUCCUGAUUUCUUAUGCAUUGUUCUAACAAGUGAUCAAAACUGUGAGGACUGGGAGAACCCCUAAAUGAGUGACCAGUGAGUCAGAAGUAUGAGUGGCCUGGGGGGAACUCUGUACUUGGUUCUGUGGUGGGGUGGCCAUGCAGAAGACUGAGUUCUUUUUUUUUUUUUUGGUGGGGGGAUGCCAAGGAUUGAAUUCAGGGGCACUGGACCACUGAACCACAUCCCCAGCCCUAUUUUGUAUUUUAUUUAGAGACAGGGUCUCACUGAGUUGCUUAGGACCUUGCUUUUGCUGAGGUUGGCUUUGAACAUGUGAUCCUCCUGCCUCAGCCUCCUGAGCCGCUGGGAUUACAGGCCUGCACCACUGCUCCUGGCAAAAGACUGAAUUCUUAACUCACGGGGUCUGUGCUCACACCGGGUGAUUACAGCCCAAAUUGAGGCAGUAUAUUAGUUCAUAUUAGAAUUAAAGAUAAGAUAAAAAUCCUUCAAGCAGGCUAAAAUACCCACCUGGUAUAUAACUCUGGGCAAAAUAUUUAAAGGCCUACCAAGGGUGACUGGCUGGGCUGAGCCCAAGGCUUACCUACUGAGCAUGGAGGAAGCGAACAAGACACUAAAAUCUAUUUCCACUCACUGAUAUGGGUAUAGGAUUUUGUCAAUGGGAAAUUGUGAGGAUUUAUUUUCAUUAAGGCAGUCUCCAGCAGGUAGAAAGGGGGACAUGGGAUAUGGAGGGAAUGAGGUAGGUUCUGCCUCCAUCUCUACUCCUUGAGCCAGUGUGCUCCUUAGUGGUAGAGAAAGGAGGGUCAGCUGCUGGAGGAGCAGUUGUCCUGGGAGAUUAUGGUAUAAGCAAGUGCUUGGGACCAGGGAACAAUUUGCAGCAAAGAGUUGGAAACUAGGUCAUUCUUCCCAUCUUACAUGGAAUGCACUUAAAAUCUUUUUUUUAAUUGUCAAAGGACCUUCAUUUUAUUUACUUAUAUGUGGUGCUGAGAAUUGAACCCAGUGCCUCACACAUGCUAGGCAAGCGCUCUACCACUGAGCCACAACCCGUGUCCCUGGAACUUUUAAUCUGAAUUUUUCCGGGAAUUUAGAAACCCAGACAGCACUGACAGGUUUAAACAAUGGUAUCCUCUUGCUAUGUACAAAUAAAAAAGAAAACAUGUCUAUCACUGGAUUAAUGCUCAGCUUCUAGCUCAAGAUUCUUCUCAAAGACCAUUUCUCUCUUGGCUCAGAUCUGCUUCACAGAAUGGUCAGGGUGUGCCGCUGAGACAGAAUUGUAGCAGAGAUUUCAUGAGGACUGCAAAGUUUAAAAUAUUUACAACCUGGCCUUUUACAGAAAAAAAAAACUAUAUAAUGCUAUAGAUGAUAUCCUCUGACAAAAAUGUAAAUUAACUAUGAUUAGUAAUAAUAAUUUGCUCCCAAAAACAACCAUAGACACUUUGAGCUCACAGGAUAUCCAUUAUAAAAGCUAUAUAAUAGAUGGAGGUGAGCAAUGAGAACACUGUAGAUCAAAACAUGUAGGAAUUCAGUAUCGACAAGCCCAUAUAACCACAGUCAUCUUAUUCGCAAAGUCUCCAAACACACACAUUGGAGAAAAGAUAGUUUCUUCAAUAAAUGGUGCCUGGAAAAUCCAUAUGCAACAAAAUGAAAUCAAACCCCUCUCUCUCACCAGGCACAAAUCUCAACUCAAAGAGGAUUCAGGACCUAGGAAUUAAACCAGAGACACUGUGUCUAUUAGAAUAAAAAGUAGGCCCAAAUAUCCACCAUGUUGGAUUAGACUCCGAUUGCACAAGAAUUAAAAUCAAGAAUCAAUAAGUUGGAUGGAUUCAAACUAAAAAGCUUCUUCUCAGCAAAAGAAACAAUCAGUGAGGUGAAUAGAGAGCCUACAUUAAAACAACAACAACAACAACAACAGUAAGUUAUGGUUACAUUUUUUGAAAAUAAUUAUUUUUUAGCUGUAGUUGGGCACAAUGCCUGGAUUUAAUUUAUUUAUUUAUAUAUGGUGCUAAGGAUCAAAUCCAGGGCCUCACAAGUACUGGACGAGAGCUCUACCACUGAGCCACAACCCCAACCCGAGAGCCUACAUUUUGGGAGCAAAUCUUUACCACUCGCACAUCAGAUAGAGCACUAAUCUCUAGGAUAUACAAAGAACUAAAAAAUCUUAACACCAAAAAAACAAAUAACCCAAUCAAUAAAUGGGCCAAGGAAGUGAACAGAAACUUCUCAGAAGAUGAUGUAUCAACAAAUAUAUGAAAAAAAAUGUUUAACAUUUCUAGUAAUUAGAGCAAUGCAAAUCAAAACUUCUCUAAGAUUUCACCUCACUCCAUAAUGGCACUUCAUAAUGGCAGCUAUCAAGAAUACAACAACAAUAAAUGUUGGCGAGAAUGUGGGGGGAAAGGCACACUCAUACACUGCUGGUGGGGUUGCAGAUUGGUGCAGCCAAUAUGGAAAACAGUAUGGAGAAUCCUUGGAAAACUGGGAAUGGAACCACCAUUUUACCAAGCUAUCCCUCUUUAGUCUAUACCCAAAGGAUUUAAAAGUAGCAUACUACAGGGACACAGCCACAUUGAUAUUUAUAGCAGCACAAUUCACAAUAGCUAAACUGUGGAACCAACACAGAUGCCCUUCAGUAGAUGAAUGGAUAAAGAAAAUAGCCAAAAUAUAUAUACACAAUGGAAUAUUAUUCAGCAUUAAAAGAGAAUAAAAUCAUGGCAUUUACAGGUAAAUGAAUGGAGUUGGAGAAUAUAAUGCUAAGUGAAGUUAGCCAAUCCCCCAAACCAAAUGCCAAAUGUUUUCUCUGAUUUAAGGAUGCUGAUUCACAAUGGGGUUGGGGAUGGGGAUAUGGGAGGAUUAGAUGAACUCUAGAUAGGGCAAAGGGGAAGGCGGGGAAGGCCAGGGAAAGAUGGUGGAAUGAGAUGGACAUCAAAUACCCUAAGUACAUGUAUGAAGACACGAAUGGUGUGACUCUACUUUAUGUACAACCAGAGAUAUGAAAAAUUGUGUUGUAUAUGUGUAAUAUUAAUUAUAGUGCAUUCUGCUGUCAUGUAUAUCAAAUUAAAAUUUAAAAAUAAAUUUCAAAACUCAAUAUUAUAUGUUUUGAUAUGUAGGGUCAAAUGAAUGCGUUUAUUAGAAAAUAAACAAUUGAGAACAAGGGGUUAGGCAUUUAACUCAGGAAAUUAUUUUCUAAAAAAAAAAAAAAAUAAUAAUAAUAAUAAUAAUAAUAAUGGAUGCAUAGUUAACCAAAAACGAGUCAGGAAUCAAGAAAGAAAUGAGGAAAUCGUGCCAGAUUAGAAGAGCAAAAUUAACAGUGAGAAUGAACAAAAGCAGAAGCUAAGAUUUGAAAAGAAGUUACACCUAUGAACUCUGGAAGUUUUGAUUAAGGAAAAAAGACCAACAACAAAAAAGGAAAGCAUAUAAAUAGGAAAAAAAAGAUAGUAAAAAAAAAAAAAAAAUAUAUAUAUAUAUAUAUAUAUAUAUAUAUAUAUAUCAUAACCUACACAAUGAACAACUUUCUGGCAAUAAAUCUGAAAAGUCAGACAAAACGGUUGUUUUUCCAGAAAAAGGUGCACUAUCAAAAUUGACUACUGAUUUAAAUUCUCAUGUCAUUAUUUUUUAAACCAUGAUUAUAAUGAUUAUGGUUAUGUGGUUAAAGAUCUAUUCAGGCUUUUAAUUUAUGCUUGAGUCAAUUUUGAUAGUGCACCUUUUUCUGGAAAAACAAAUAAACCUUUUUUAAAAAAAUAUUUUAGUUGUAGAUGGAAACAAUACGUUUACUUUAUUUUAUUUAUUUUUAUGUGGUGCCAAGGAACAAACCCAGUGCCUCACACACGCUAGGCAAGCGCUCAAACUCAGCCCCCCAAAACCAAUAAACCUUUAAAAGUCCCAAGCUUACAGUGAUCUAUGUGUAAAAUUUAUAAAAUUUUCCAAGAAAAGAAAAAAAACAACUUCUUAUAAAAGUACUGCUCAGAAGAGCAAGAACAAGAGAGAGAGAGAGAGAGAGAGAGAGAGAAUAAAUUGGAGAAAGACAAUGCAAGAAAAGAAAAAGCUCAAUCUCACCGAUGCAGAUGAAUAAAAACCUCCUAGAAAAAAUUUACAAAUUAAAUGCUUUAAUCUCUAAUAUACCAUACAUAAGCAUACUUCAUGCAAUAUUAUUAGUAUUAGAAAAUGUUAAUACAAUCAAUAAUAAUGUUACAGAUUAAAGAAGAAAAAACAGAGAGAUGCAAAAAAAAUAGCAUUUGAUGAAAUUCUCUCAUGAAACAUGUCCGCAAACUAAAAAUGAAUGUCAUUUCCUUAAUCACAUAAAUAUUACCUACUGAAAACCUAAACAGACUUACUAACAUGUAACAAGCAAAGAUUAGAAAGAGCACCUUUAAAAUGGGGCAUGAAAGAUGAGCUUGUUCUCAUCAGCAUUAUUCUGCAGAUCCAGACCUGGGUAAGAAAGGUGUGAGAGAGACAAAAGAAUUGGAAAGAAAAGCUAGAAACAAAAUUGUCAUUUACAAAGAACAGCAUUAGCAACACAGAGAGGGAAAGAGGAAGGACAGGUGGACACAAAACUGAUAGAAUACUGGCAUUUUCAUAAUAGACCACCAUUUAUGCAAGUCAAUAGGAAAAAGACGUUGCAUCUUAAAAAAUGGGGAAAAGGAGGGAUAAUUCACCCAAAACCAAAACCUACUUAGCCAACAUGUGUGUGUAAAAGAGGCUUAGCCUCUCUCUCUCUCUAGGACCCCCCUAGUUUGCAGCCCUGCUUUGCAAAGCACUAGUUUCUAAAGAAGAGAGUCCCCCAGAGCAGGGUAAGCAGAGGAAGUAGAGCCCACCUGGUGGGAGCCUGGGCAAUACUAGCAGGGGCUGGCUGGUCCGGGGUUGAACCUGCCACCUGGGGAGCAAGGCUGAGCCCUCAGGUCAAGCAGGGCUGCGUGGGGGAGACAUCAACCUUGCAUAGUCUCCUUUUCUCUUUAGGGAAAAGCAAAACAGAUGACUGGCUGUUGUAUGCAGCCCUUUAUAAGGCCAUCCUUAAAGGGGAGGUCCCUGGACCUCAUCCCUAAUAGGUUCUCAUCUGGGGCAAAACCAGAACCCCCUGGGGGGCUUGCAAACACACAGAAGCUGGUCCACUGAAUGUCCUGACCCAGUGGACCUAGGGUGAGCCCCACAGAGUUCAUUUCUAACAAGUUCCUGAGGUCCAGCACACACUCCAUGUCUGCAGCUAUCAGUAAUUUUAAGGUUGCUGCUCUCAAAGGCUGGGACAGCAGCUCGGAGGGCAUGAGAAGAUGAAGGAGCACUGAGCUGGGUCCACAGUCCUCUUGGCUCGGGAAUUGGUUGGUGCUCUGAAUAGCCUCGUCUUACUGAGAAUCAGGACGAGCCUAUACUCUUUCCUCACAACAGUUGGGGGCAGGAAAGGGUAAGAAAGAGGACCCGGCCUUGUAGGGACCAUAUGACUAUGAUUGGGAAUGUGUCUGUGGGCUGGAGUGGGAUGGAAAAUGCCCCAUGGCUGGGAGGUCAUGGUGCCCACCUGGAUGGUGCCUUUCACCAUAUCUGGGACCACUGUGGGGAGACACUCAGGGUAACCUGAUGUGUCCAGGGAUGGGGUGCGCAGGUGUCAUGGCCUCACAAAGCUACGUCAUUGUGUUCUGUUUCUUUCCCUCUUGUUUCUGCAUCUCUGCCAAAUUCUGGCACAACAGUUUUUCUUGGGAAGUAAAGUGAUGGGGCAGAGAGGGAGGUUGACAUUCAAAUAAGAAAGGGGGAUUAAGAAAGGAAAGCCAAGGAAGCUCUUCACCUACCUCUGGUAGCUAGUAUCCAGGCAAGGUUUAGUCUGUUAGCAAAAGUGGGUUUUGUUUUUGUUUGCUUUUUCUGUUUGUUUGUUUGUUUUAAGUUUUAUUUUCAUUUGGCAGCUUCUCCAGAGAUAAUGCAGAGGAUUUAACUAUGGUAAAUGCAAUGAGAUCUCAGUUUCUUUCUAUGCUGAUGGAAUCUCAUUUCAGCAUGGUCAGGCAGUAGCCAUAGAGACCUCUUUUCCUGCAGGACAUUAUAGGGCCAAGAAACAUGGAGUCCCCUGGGGGCAUAGGCUCAGAUGCUGGGUCCCUUUCCAUUUUAUGCUUGGACUUCCCUUGAAUGGCCCUGGACCUUGCUCUGUACACCUUGGCCGAGUGUUUUGGGAUGCUUGCAAAAAUAGUUCCCUGUAUCUGCGAAGGAUGUAUUCCAAUAUUCCAAUGAUAAUACCAAACCCUAAUAUAUGUAUGUAUGUGUGUAUAUAUAUAUAUAUAUAUAUAUAUAUAUAUUCCUUUUUAUACAUAAUUACGAAAAAGUGUCACCUUUUGACUUUCAAGCAAGCACUUUACGACUUUCCUUUGGCACAUCCAAAUUCUCACUGCUUUUGCACUUUGGAGCCAUUAUGAAGUAAAAUAAAGAUUACUCAAACAGAAACAGGGUGAUACCAUGACAAUGGAUCUGUAAUCAAGAUGGCUACUCAGUGACUAAUGAGUGGGUAGGUUAUACAGCAUGGAUAUACUGGGCAAAGGGACGAUUCAUAUUCUGACACUAGAUUUCAUUGUGCUUCUCAAAACAGCAUGCAAUUUAAAACUCAUAAAAUUGUUUACUUCUGGAAUUUUCCAUUUCAUAAUUUUGGACCCAACAGUUGACCAGAGGGAACUGAAAUCUUGGAAAGUGAAACUGUGGAUCAGGAGGCUUCUAUACUCUAGAGCUAGCUGGUGGAGCUCAUGAUGGUAUCUUCUGACAGUAGAACCUCCCAAUUCCAUAGCACUGCUCAGGGCUGUGAGGUGUCUUCAGACAAGAUAGGCCUGUGGUCACAUGCACUGCUGAGUAGAGACAGAGAGAUCCCACCCCAGGGAAGCACCAGAGGACCAAGAUAAUCCAGUCCCAUGAGUGGGACAAGCUGACCCUCCUGCAGCCCUGCUUACCUGUUCCCAGGCAGGUGGUCAGGGGAGGGGCAGCUGGCUCUCCCUCCUUCCUCCAAAUGCUGCAGUCCCUGCUCAUUCCUCCAUGCCACAAGCCUCCUGCUGAUGAGGCAGUGGCAGGAGCGACUGUCUCCUUCAGGAAUGUGCCAUGUUUCUGAGCCCAUGACAAUGACACCUGUGUCAUUCAUAUGUACAAAAGCCAGAUAUAGCAUCCCCCAUGCAGCGCUCCUGGUCCUCUGUGGAAUGGGCCCUUAUGUGUCCUACCAGUGGGCCCUAGGAUGUGGACAAGAGCCUUUCCUCCUGAUGACCAGGCCAUCACCAUUUGGCAAACCAGUUGUUUGGUUUUUGUGGGGGCCACACCAGCACAGCAGCCUGGGCUGAUGUCAUGGCCAGGUGGACCUGGGGACCACACCAGUUUCAACACCCAGCCGCAGCCUGUCCUGCCAUUUGCAAGAAACAAAACACAAACAAAAUGCAUGGGAGUGUCUGACCUGUUUGCAGAUGGCUUUAGUCAUGUGCUGGGAAACCUCUGCUGCAGGGAGUUUUCUCUUACCAGGCCUCCUCAGGCACACGGGAGAGAGGUUCCCAGGGAGAUGAUAAGGAAUGAAGAAAGGGAAAGAGAGAGGGUAAGAAGCCGAGGGCAGGGGAAGAACAUGACGGUCAAGGGAGCUUGCUCUGUGGCCACUGAGUCCAAGUCCUCGGACCCCAGGCCCUAUAGUGUGGGUCAAGUUCGUUGUACGUGUCAAGUGUGCUGGGUGGUGGAGCCAGGUAAGCGGUCAAGCUUUAUCCUGGUGUCUCUGUGACAGCCUUUGGACUUGAUCCACCUCACGGGGCUCUUCCACCUCUUGCCUGCCAGCCAUGGUGAUUUUAGACUUGGUAGCCUCCAUAAUUGUAGAAGCCAAUUCCUUGAAAUCAAUCAAUCUAUCUAUCUAUCAAUCAUAUAUCUAUCAUCUGUCUGUCUGUCUGUCUAUGGUUGUCUCUCAGUAUCCAAGGUAGAAUGGUUCCAGGAUCCCCCAACCCUGGUGGUGGAUAUCAAAUUUCACAGUUGCUCAAGUCUCUCAUAUGGAAUGAUGAAGUAUUUGCAUGCAACCCAUGAGCCUCCUCCUGUGUACUUUAAACCAUCUCUAGAUCACUUACAAUACCUGAUACCAUGUAAAUGAUACAUAAAUAGUUGUUAUGCUGUAUCAUUAGAGAGUAAGGGUAUGAAAAAAAAUCUGUACAUGUUUAGUGCAAAUUAAAUAUUUGUUUUUCAAUAUUUUAUCUUCAGUUAAUUGAAUCAGCAGAUGUAGAACAUAUAGACAUGGAAAGCCAACUCUAUCUAUCAAUCUAUCUAUCUAUCUAUCUCUCUACAUCAUCAUCUACCAUUUAUCUGCCAUUUAUCAUCUAUUUAUCUAUCUAUUCUCUAUCAUCUAUCAUUUAUCAUCUGUCUAUCCUGUUUAUCUGUCUAGUGUCAUCUAUCACCUGCCUGUCUACCUAUCCAUCCAUCCAUCUACCCAUACAUACAUGCAUCCCCAGUUCUGUUUCUCUACAGGAUCCUGAUGCCCCCAUUCCCCACUCCUCAGGCUCCACUCAUCCUCCUCAGCCUGCCCACAUUCCCAGCAGUUGAGGGUUCGGAUGCGGAACAGUCACUGAACAGUGGAGGUUGAAUGAAAGGAGAAAAGUAGAAUUAAGGGUACGUGUAGGCUCCAGGAGGCUGACAUCACACCGAUUUCUCAUUUUCCUGGAGGAGAUGCCAUUCUUUCCCCUAAUUUUCAAAAGAUUUGUCUGUGGCCUAAAGAAGGUUAAGAGGAGGACUAAGAAAUCCUGAAAUAGCUCAUGGAACCACGAACCACGGCCCCCAGCAGGUUUGUAGAAUUGUGAAGGCCUGGUCAUCAGAAGUAAGGCUCUUUUCCAUAUCUCAGGGCCCAGUGGUUUGGUUUUCCCAUUAAGAGGGAAAAACAAAGUAAAUACACCAGGGAAAAUAAGAAGGAGGGGGCCAGGUCAAAGACAAGGGAGCCAUGCUACAUGUGGAGAAGUGAUUUGUUCUGUUUCUCUGUCACUGAAGACGUACUAGAUGUUAUGAGGGAAGGCAGCACAAAACUGUACACAUUAUUGCUGGUAUUAUAACCUGAAUCCUCAGACAUCAUAACUGAAUUUUUUAAAGUCUUUGAGAACCUCUUUCAGUGCUCUGCUGAUCUGUACUCUGUACGUUUCAAUAAGCUGGACUCCCCAGCCCCCUAAAAUGGACGGUUUGAUUUAGAUUGAGGCAUGCAGAGAUGAAGAAAACUCCUUUUUUUCUUUCUCCUUUCUAUCCAAUCAGGAAGUCACAGGACCGAAUUUCCCUAUUUUGUCAGUCCUAUACCUUGAAGCCCACACUAUUCCAGUAGCACGGAACUGACAAGGGAAUGCCCACACCAGAGAUUUAUCUGCCCAUCUACAGCAUGCCUGUCAUCCAAGGGGGCUACCUACAGAGCGACAGUCGUUCAUAAAGCCAUCAGUCAGAAACUUAUUUCAUGAAAGUCUCCAGUGAGAAAACAGAAUUUAGCUUUUUGAAUGUUAAAUUUAUGCUACUAGAGAUUCUUCUAAUAGAGGAGUAUAAAUUCCAAGCUGCGCAUGGCUCUGGAAAACCUUUUAAUGAACAAACGAAAAUAAUUAGAAUCCUGUUGGGAUUGGCCGAGGAGCAGAAAAGAAAUGGUCCACUCUGAGUGUCAACCAAGUCUCCUCCCAGGGCUGCACGGGGAAGAAAGAUGGAUUGGUUGUCUGUAAGAUUUGGCAAGGGACACUAACAAUCAGAGUGACCAUGGCGUGGAUGUAACAGCAGCUCACCUUGGUCACAGAACGGCUUGCUGUACUAAGAAUUUUACAUAAAUGCUAGUUCUCAUUCCUUUAUCUUAUUGAAUCAUUCCACCAACUCUUCUGUGACCACCCUUAGUUACUGAGCAGAACUGGGACUUAGAGCCACUGGCAAAUUGAUCAGCUGCCCACAAAAGCCUGGGUAGGGUACAGGGAGGAUUUGGACCUAACCUGUGCACACCAACAAAGCCCUCUCUUGCCCAGUGUCCACUUUGAAUCUCAUGGGAGGACAGGGGAGUAAAUACCAACAGAGUGGGCCCAGGGAGCCCUCGUGGGGGGGUGUGGGUGAAUGAGGCAUUCACUUACAGCCUUGCCCCAGUGUUUAGCUGGGGUCCCUAGACCCAAAGAACCUGGUCUCCCAGAGUCAGUGAGUGUAAAGAAGUAACAAAUGUGUUUCUUGUUUAUUCCAACAUUAAUUCUGUACCAGAUCAUGGCCUCCUUUAAGACACGCUAUAACGUCAGAUGCCUUGUGCUGUUUUCUUUCUUGCCUGAAAUUGUUCUUUGUUAACAAGGAGGCCCUUUUGUUGAGUUUUACUGGGCAACUUAACAUCUUUCGUCAGUCUCUGGCAGCGCUUCCAGAGUGUUCUGUAAGCUAUGAUUCGCUCCAAAGGCAGAACGGCCCGUCGGGCUGGGGCGUGUGCAGAUGGUACUGUUGAUACUCUGCAGGAGGAUCAGCUGGGCGGCCUGGCUGAGGCAGACCACAUCAAAGCUGUCUUUGUGCGGCUCCGUCCUGCCUUGUCCUGGCUCCAGCUUCUGCAAGGGCUUGCUUCAAACGUUCACAACCGGCAUCACGUCCAGUGACGACAUCAUUACAAUUCAUACGCAGACAACAAAUUGCAAGCACUUCUGUGUUGGGAAACAGUAAGCGCAUAUUUAUCCCGAGGAAUACUGUAGUGGAGAAUGUCCCCAUCUAGCAGGAAGUCAUUUCGAUGGAUAGGUUUGAGGUUUGUCAUCAAGAAGACUGAUUUGCAUGCUGCUCCAGCCCAACUUGGUCAGGAAGCAGGUUCCAGUAUCAGCAUCUCACCCACAGCACCUACGUUAUCCACCCCAACCCCGAGCUCAGCAGGGCCAUGUCGAUUUUAACAAGUUCCUGUUCAGAUCAAAUGUCCACUGAUCUUUCCUGUGGGUGCUGCCUAUCAAGGAUACCUUCUCUCCAACAAAACCAACACUUCAGUUAUUCGGUUCUUUACUGCAUGUCAGGCACUGGCCUAGGUACUUGGCAAAUAUGUGCUCUUCGUGGCCACUCAAUGGAUGUAGGCACCGUCAUCAUGUCCAUUUUGCAGAUGAGAAGUGGAGGUAAGAGAGGCUAAAUAGCACCCGCGUGCUCACAAAGCUAAGGAAAGGUUGGAAUUGGCUGCUAACUCUGGGAACACCCAAACCUAGAGGCCUCUGUCACUUCCUAGACAGAUAUGUUUCUGGGGAUUGAACUGAAACAGGAAGGAAGCUCUUCCCAGCCCCAUAAGAAGCCACCAGGUCAUGAAGCACCCCUGUGCCUCCUUGGUUGGACCUAAGGAGACUGCCAUAGUGGCAUUUUGGACUAGGUGGAUAUUGGAGGCUGCACAGAGGACUUUGAAUGAAAGCUUUGCUGCCAACUAGCUGUGUGGCCUUGCUCAUUUGUCUUCACCGGCAAAAGGAGGACAAUAAUACUAACCCCCACAGACUGUGCAAAGGAAUAAUUGUCAAAAUGCCCUAAAGCAGAGUAAGGUAGACAAAAAAUGGAGAUUUAAAAACAUUUUUAAAUGUUUUUAAAUACUUUAAAAAAUAUCUUAAAAAUAUUUUUCAUAGUCCUUUGAGAAGUGACUCUGUCCUAAAAAGCAAAUUAAUGUUGAGCUUAAAAUAAUAUUUUAAUUGAAGAUUAUUUAACACUCGUGAUUUUAAAAAUAAAAAUAUAAGGACUCUACGGCCCCUCACCACCACUCCGUAAUUGUGCCAACUUUUCUAGCACCAUGCUACAGCUAGGCAGUAAGAAAAACUCAGCUCUGGUCUUGUCUACUUGAAUUUUGUUUCAAUUUGGUUUUGGUGGGUGUCACUGAUCCCACUCUGUAAGGUGACAGUGAGGAGAGAGGGCAGAACAGCCCUUCCUAUCCCUGUCCUCUGAGACAAUGGCCCUCACACUUUCCAUUUCUCCAGCUACCCAGGCAGCUGUCCAAGUUGGCACCAGGAGACCUUCACUUUGCCAAAGGAGACAGUCAGGUCUAUCAGCUGCCCCACCUCAGUAAGUCCCGAUGGGCAUGACCCAUUCUGCAGCGAAUUCCCUGGUGGACUCCUGGACCUUCCUAUAGGUAAUGAAAGGAUGUGGGAACCGAGCAUAGAGCCCAGGCCACUCUUUCCUGCCUCUAACCAAACCCAGAGUGUAUUCUCCAAACUAGUAACUGUGCAAUAUUCUACAGUGUCCCAGGUGGCGUGCUCCGUUGCCUGCUGAGACAAUAUGUUUUGUAGUACCUUUCAGGGAGAGGUGUACCUGGGAAAGAGUGAGGGAGGUCGCUUCAGGGGCAAGGGAGCCCUGUGGACUACAGAACCAUGGGCAAGAAAUGGGAACGAAGAUUGGGUCCCUCCCCAAGGUCAUUCAUGGAGGACUUUUGUAAGACCACAAUUGGCAAGCAUGGCUCAAAGAGGUGAUCGUGCAGCACAGGCUGCCAACAGGGGAAAUGCAGUGACCCAGGUGCAGAGGCUGGCACCCUUGGACACGGGGAUUCAUGAGUGUGGAGGAUGGCGAGGGAAGGACAGAGCCUCUAUGCCAGUAGAUGUUGUGCAAUAUAAUGUGUGGGUGCUGCAAUCCAGGACAAGGUGUAAGUCGAGGUCCUAGAAUGGGGUGAUGUUUACAAGAGACCAACAGCAAGCUCUGUAUACACACUCAUCAUCCAUCCAUCCAGCCUUCCCUCCACCCAUCCCUGCACUCCAUUCUUUGUAAUCAUUCAUUUUAGUACAAGGAAUGAACAAAAAUAUGAAAUAUAAUUUUUCCUCUUGGAAGGGCAAAGCCAAGUAACUUCAGCCAAGAAAAUGUGCCCUGUGCCUUCAGUGACCCACAUUCUUUGCCUCCCCUGGAAGCAGUAAAGGUCUGCCCACAGCGCACUGGUAACUGCAUAGAGGAAGGCUGGAAUGGAGAGGGCAGACGAGCUUUCAAAACAGUGGCUGCAUCUCCCAGUGGAGAGCAGGAUCCAUUGGAUGGUGUCUCCACGUUUCCGUUUAGUGGGUGGGGGAAGUAUUGGAAAGAGCACAGGAAUGCAGAAACCUCUUUUUCUGUUGUUGGGGGGAAAAAAACCCCAUAAACUCAGUAGCUUGUAAAAAAUAGACAUUUGUUAUCUCACUGUUUCUAUGGGUCACGAGAACAAAUUCCCUGCUCCGUUAGAGUCCCAGGGCCAAAUAUUUACUAUUUAUCCAGGCCUAUGGAUAAAGGCUGGAUACUGUUUAUGUAUCAUCUGCAACUGACCUGAGACCCAGCUGACAGCAAGGUUUUUUCCAGAUGAAAGAAUCCAGGUUCAGUGGAAUUCUACUGAGUUCCUACUACACACUUGAAAGGUCAGUCAGUUUCACAAGCCCAGUCUUUCAGCCUGGGAAGAACUCGGGCUGUGGAAUAAAGGGGAGAGGAAGGUCUCAUCGGGACCCUUAAUAUCAGCAGCAGCUAGGCUUCUCUCCAAGCCAGGAUAGUUAAUGCCAACAUUAUCCUUUAUUAGCUAUUAAAAACUAGCUAUGGCUUCCCUUUGGUGUGUGAAGAAUCAUGAUUACUGCAGAAGAAAUUAUUCGGCAAUGCAACAUGAUAUAAAGUGCCAACAUUGAUUACAAUAUUUUCACAAAAGGUUUUCUUCCAGGAAAUAACACAACUAUUUGGAGACCCCAGAUGACAUCCUAUGACAUAGUUCUUCCUCUCACCUCCAUUUGUCCAAACACAAGAAAUAAGGGGAUCUUUUCCUUAAUACUUAGAUAUCCCUGUCGGCCAUUUAAGGCAUUUGAAUCUCUUGGAGAACUAAGACCUGUCUUCCUUAGAUGCCAGAGGAAUGAAUUUGUAAAAAACUUUGAUGUGAUUGUUCUUCCCACCUUCUUUGAUGUGCCCUCUUCUCCCUUCACCCAGGGCCCUGCAUUGUCUGAUAUAAAGAAAAAGAGACAAUGUUUAGCCUUUAAAUUUCAGAAGAGAUUUUUGAAGCACUCAAGGAGAAAAUGGUCUUGCCAGACAGGAUUUGUGAGGACAAAUGGAGUUUGGUAUCCCCAAACUUGCUGUCAUCUGUAAACAACAAAGGUGAGAAUUACCAGAGGCUCUGCAAAGGGGAAGCCCCCAUAGGGAGGUUGAGGAUGCUCUCCUGCCGCAGGUAGGCACAUGGGUGCAUUGAGAGAGAGAGAGAGAGAGAGAGAGAGAGAGGUUUGCAUGGAAGAGCAAGGCUAAGGUGGGGUUGUCAUCAGUCUUUAGCUCCACUGCCUCCAUGAGAGGGCACAGACCCAGGAUGACAUGGGGUUCAGAGUGCAGAGCAGACUUUCUAGCUAUGACCAAGCAGCAAUGUCCGAGAGUGAAGCUUAACACAGCAGCCUGGCCUAGACACCCCUUCCCUGUGGGACCUGGGGGACAAGGACUAUGACUCAUGCUUCUGGCUAGAGUUUGUGGGAGCACCAGAGCAAGGUGAGCAAGGACCCCAGAAUAGGGCCCAAAGGGUGAGAUCCCAUGGGAAUUGCACAUAGCUCUUUUAAGAAUUUGUGUCCCCAGAGGGCCAGUGUGAGAGACUCCUGGGAGAGGGUCUUGAGCCUUGUUCAUACAGCAUCAGGAAUGGAGGCAUCUGCAGAGCAAAAGGAGCCAGUUGCUAAGGUGGUAGUCCUGGACCACCAGCCUUGCGCAGUGCCACAGGGCCUAGGUGCACCUCCCAGCACCCAGAGGCCUCUUGGGACAGAGAAGUAACGAGGCAGUUGCUUAAAGGGGUGUCUCUGACAGCUGGAGUGCACUAAGGAGAGGCUCAGCAUAUACCCCAAAGGACCUUAGGAAACCCCAAAGAGGGGCCCAAAUGGAGGCAAUGGUACUUGGUGAGCUUCAAUGGUACAUUCGAUUUUCCCCAAUAGCAGUUAAAAAAUAAAGAAAAUGACAGCUGUUAUUUGCACAUGAGAAUGAUUUGAGUACGGUUUGUGCCUCUGAAUCUCACGUAGAAUAUCUGAUUGCUGUCAUGGCAUGUUAGAAGGGAAUAGUGCCUUUCUCUUGGGUCUAGGCUAAUUCUUGGAGUUGGGACUUAUUGUUCUUGCCGUGUUGGAGUAAUUGCUGCAGCAGUGAGUUGUUACAAAGUGGGCCACCCUUUGUGUUUUGCUGCUUCUGCACACACCACCCACUUGCCCUUCCAUCUUCUGCCAUGAGCUGAAGUAGCACAGGGCCCUUACCAGAAACAGCUGCCCAAUCUCGGGCAUUCCCACCUUCAGAUUUGUGUGCUAAAUAACCUCUCAUGUCUGGUACUUUUUUAUAGCAACAGAAAGUGGAAUAGGGUAACAUACAUUUUACCAGACCAUGUCUGGAUUUAAAAAUGCAUUGCAACUGAGGAUCAGAAAAAUGUUGAGGGUAAUGCAACCCGGAGCUUGCUGUAAGCUGUGGUUUUUCCCAAGUUCUAUGUCAGAGUGUUUUGACUUGCAGCAGGAGUCUCUACAACUCCACGUAGACCUCUCUGUUAGGAAACUGGUGCUGCAGCACCAAGAAGUGUUGGGAAGGAGCUGAUAUUCCAGCCCCAGCAGUGAUCCAAUUUUGAGUGGACUGCAAAUAAGCUGUUAGAGUUGGAGGCACCCGGACCUUUCUAGUCUAGUGUUUUAGGAUCACCAAUAAGGCAACCGUGCUUACCUGGCUUAAUCUGGAUUUAUCCCAGGAGGAUUUAAAAUUAAAGUGAGGAUUUCCAUUCAAGUUUCCUCAUUUCCUAGUCACUUCUGAGCAGACUGCUCAGGUCCGAGGCAGGACAGAGGACCUCCAAUGUCCCUGUCACAUCCUCUGCCUCCCCAACUUCUUGCUUGUUGAAAUAACCCAUUACCUUUUUUUUUUUUUUAAGCAGGUUGGGCCAAAACUAGAAAGAAAUAUGGCAGCGACUUUAGGAACUCUCUAGCUCAUGCCACCUUUGGUCCUUUUUCUUGGGGAGCCCUUUUUAGGAAAGGGAAUUAGUUUCCCAGGAUGCAAUUUUGAAUCAGCCCUGGCUGCUGAGAGUGGCCACUGGCCGCUGAGGGCAAGCAGCUCGUGCCAACUGAACACGGCCAGGAAUGACGACUUCAUAAUGCUCCUGGGGAGCCCCACUAAUUACCCAAUGGACGAUUUCAGGCCCAGUCAGUCUCUGAUGAGUCCUAGAUGGCAGGCAAGUGUCGAAACUUGCCCUCAGACUUGGAGGCUUCAUGCAGCAAGUCAGGGGGAUGACGGGGUGGAUUUUCCAGUCACACUGCCAAAGGGGCGGUGGUGUCCACCCGCCGUGGUGCUGCUUCUGUGCCAUACAGAGCUGUGUUCUGGCCUGCAGAGGCACAGUGAGUCUUGCUGCUUGAGGGAAAGAUGGCCAUAAGCAAGUCUUAACUCUCCGCAUCCCAUCUCUGCUUCCAGAAAGCCAUAAGGCUUAAGUUCUAGGUGGCAGAAUAAAUCAGCAGUGGAAUUCAAGUCGAGCAUUUCAUGUCCUUAUUCCUGUGUGCCCCCCAUGAACUCUUGCAUCUUCUGUCAAAUGUCUUCUCAGGCCCUACUGCCCCCCCCACCCCAAUACACAUGCUUCCCAAAUUGGGAUGCCACCUGCUCCUUACCUACAGGAAACGUGCCUGGUAGCAUUGGCAGUGUCCUACUUGGGGGGUAGGGGUCAGAGCUCUCAAAUUUUAAAAGAAAAUUCACCCCCUCCCAAGAAUUUUUCUCUCCUUUUUUUCUUAGCAAUGCUCAAUUAUAAGAUACACUGUUUUUUAACUACAGUGUUGAAACUGAGCAGUAGGUCUCCAGAAUUUGCUCAUCCAACUGGCAACUGCAAACCCUUUGACCAACAUUCUCACCCACCCCCCCCAUGCCUCCCCCGAGUCCCUGGCAACCACUGCUUCUGUGAGUUCAAAGUUUUCAGAAUUCCCCCAGGAAUUAUGUUCUGGGACUACAAUAUUUUAAAAUGCUCUAAAAAUAUAACUAUUUGUUAAUCCAGGGCACUCAUCUGAGCGCCCAGUCUUGGGGGUUGAGUAAGAAUUCCCAGGGGGCAUCUAAGGGUAGCGUGGAGUGUACCUAAGACAACGGCCAACCGUGUCCACGUUGGGGCAGUCGUAGAAUGGGGCUGUUUCAAGCAUCUGGUUGAAAGUGUUUGAUUUUGCUCUCUCUCUCCCUCGUCCACCUUUUUUCUUGCCUUAGGUGAGGGAACGAUGACGGGGACAGCAUAGUCACUUACGCACACGUUGGCCGAUUGUCCAGGCAAACGUUUUACUAUUUUGUGAUGGGUUUCACAAAAGAGGAAUGAACGGUCAAUUUCUGAAAUGUUUCCAGAGGUCCUCUAACGAGAACCAACUUAAUUCGAGUUAGAGGAUAGUUUUGAUAAAUACAGAAAAUAAUGGACAGCAAAACUCCACUACUCCUGGCCUUUUCCGCAUGCACACAGUGUGGUUUUUAAAACUGGAAAGUACUGGUUUCUAAAUCUUAGUUUGCUAGGGUCACUGUUACAAGUGCUUUAGACUGGACGGCCUAAACAGCAGAAAUCUCUCAUCUUACCAUUCUGAAGCCAGAAGUUGGAGAUCCAAGUGUCACGCUCGUUGGUUCCUUUGGGGGCUGGGGCGAGAACCUGUUCCAGCCUUUCCCCUUAGCUCAUAGAUGGCCAUCUUUCUGCAUCCCUACAUGGUUGUCCCUCUGAGGGUUCCUAUGUCCAAGUUUCUUCUAAUAAGAGCACCAGUCAUUUUGGGUUAGCACUCACCCUAAUGACCUCCCAUAACUUUAUAAUUAUGUGCCUCUGUAAAGACCUUCUCAACACAUAAGGUCACAUUUUUAGGUCCUGGGGGUUAGAACUUCAUGUGAACUUGGCCUGGUGAAAUGAUCCAACCCAGAAGAGUUUCCCUAUGACAUGCACGGUCAGUAGGCAGCUGGGAUGUAGAUUUAGGGGUGGGCUGUGCUCAGCAUGCUAAAGACCCUGGGUCAGUCCCCAACCUGAAGAACAAAGAUAAAAACAAGUCAGCUUGCAGGACAGCAUUCUCUGCCAUCUGUACCCGAUAAACUCCCCUGGCAAAGUAACAGGAUUCUAGAAUUCCUCCUUCUCUGGAGGUUUGGAUUUAAAUGGAUGAGGUUGUAAGGCUACGUGGCUUCAUGCCCUGAGUGUCUAUUUGGUAAGGACAUUGUAAGAUAAACAACCUUCUUACUGAUUGUUUUCAUAUUUCUAUUAAUAACCUUUUCCCUUUCUUUGAUAAAAAAGGCCACUUCCUGCCCUAUAUCCUUUCACGGUUAGGGACGUCUCUCUCGACUCAUUUUCUUUUUCCACAUAUUCCACAUACUCUCCCUCCUUCGGGGCAGCCAAGAUUCUCAGAGUGUGCAGAAUUCUUCCUUUCUUUAUGCCUUUGCAUUGAGCAUUUAAGACAUACAACUAGAUUUUUCUCUAUUCCGCACAAUUCAGUCCUUUCUUGGCUGCCAGUUUCAUGUUGUGUAUGGAUUAGGUGCCACCAUUACAUAGACUCUGACUUUCACCUGUCCCUUUAAAAGUCACUUGUCUCCAGUUAUAUCAUAAACUGCUUAUAUAUGUGUCCCCUCCAGUCCAAGGACGGUGGUAAACAAAGAGUAGGUGUUCAAUAAAUACUUGUGAUUGGCUGUUCUCAUUUUUUCAGGAUUCCUAGUGCAUGUUUGUCAAAGAACUAGAAAGUGGUAAAAUAGAUAUUACUCAAUGUUGCAAUGGGGGGGGAAAGACCUCAGCACAGAGCUGGGCUCCACUCCAAGUACAAUAAGGAAAAGUGAGAAUCUACAGCCAAGGAGCAGGGCGGGGGUCACUGGAUGGAAAAUUCCUGAGCAGAAGCGUCAAGCGGGAUUCUCGACAAAGACGGGCCCAGUGACCAGACAUCACCUUGUGGGGAGGGGUCGGGGGUGGGAGGUGAGGAGUUGGAUGGGAUAACAAGGGAGAGCAGAUGCUGAUGACAAUGGGUACUGGUUAAAUAGCCAUCGUGACGUUCAUCAGGCUCUCGUAGGACAUGACCAAGGUCAAGACCUAGUCAGCACUGAAGAAACCCCUCUAAAGUCUGGUCAAGGGAGACAAGCUUCAUUACACUACCUCUUUGCCACUUGAGGGGUAGAAGCGUCAGAAUGCAAGAAGGAUAGUCUGCCUCCCGGUGCUCUUUUGGGAGGUACGACCAGAGAGGCCUUCAGAACCAGCAGGAGGAAUCCCUGCUAUAGACUUCAUAUUCUGGAGGACUCCAAGUGUUGUACACACACACACAAACAAGAACAUGCAGGCACAGACACACCUGCAGACACGCACACACAUACCACACCCGCAUACACACACAAAUACAUACGUACACAUACCUUUCCAAACACACAGAGACACAUAUAUGUGCAUACAAACAUACAGAUGCACACAUAUGCCCCACUUACAAACAUACACACACGAACACAAGUACACACACAUUCAUUAAAGAAUAUCUAGAAUCCUGCAUCUAGUAACAAUACUUCUCACUUGAGGUUGUUAUUUUUUGUAGUAGGUUUACCAAAUCAUGAUAAAUUACAAUAACUUUUUAAAGUUUUCUCUUUUCUUUUAGUUGUGGAUGGACCUUUAUUUUAUUUCUAUGUGGUGCUGAGAAUCCCACCCAGUGCCUCACACAUGCUAGGCAAGCCCUCUGUCACUGAGCUACAGCCCCAGCCCCAUGACAAAUCUGACUAGGAAGAGAUGCGAUCCUACAGUGGUAACGCCCACUCUCCACUAACACGGGAGACUGUUGCCCGUGAGGUUCUCUCCCCACUCCUUUCUCGAUUGGGAUUCACAUAGUUGUAUUCAAGUAUCAAACAGGAUAAUGAGUCUGGUAUAUGAUGGAUAGUUCUAGGACAAAAUUUCUCAUCUCUACCAUCAAAUCCUCUUGGAUUCACUUCGAUAUCUGUCUUGAUUCUUUCUGCAUCGUUUCAUCUUACGGCUUGUUAUGGCUUGGAGAUGAGAUGUCCUCCCAGAGCUUCUGUGUUGACAUGGGGAUAUUUGGGGGUACAUGAUUGCAGUAGGAGAGCUGUGGUCUAAUCAGUCCGUCCUAGUUUGAAUGGACUGACUGGGUGGUGACCGUGGGCGGGUGGGGUGUGGCUAGAGGAGGUGGGUCACUGGAGACGUGCCCUGGAGGGGCUCAUGUUUCCUGUGGCCCCUUUCGCUCUCCCUCUUCCAGGUGGCCAUGAACUGAGCAGCACUCCUUCACCAAGCCCUUCCACCCUGAUGUUCUGCCUCACCUUGGGCCUAGAGCAAGGGAGUCGGCCCACCGUGGAUUAAACCUCAAAACCAUGAGCCCAAAUAGACUUUUCCUCCUCUGCGUUGUCCUUGUUCAUGGUGAAACAAAGAUGAGUGUACAAACAAGCCCACCUGGCUCCUCCUCAAGGUCGUCAUCGUCUCUGGCCUCAACUCUGUGUCAGCCCUUAGUGCAUCUCCGCUGUGGCCUCAUGCAGGUCAUUCUGCACUGGGUCGCCACAGUGAUCGGCAUGUAAGUGUUGACGUUGCUUCCCCACCUAAAACCUUCCAGCAACUUCCAUUGCACCACACCUACAACUGAAAUCCCUUCCUAUGGCAACGGACUGUCCUGAUGGAACCCUGGCCUCCUUCACCAGUGUCAUAUGGGGCUACAGUCCCCCAAACACUGGAGUCAGCCCUAGGACCUUUACAACACCCGACAUGCUAAGCUUCUCAGCCUCAGGACUUUGGGACUCACUCAUCCUGUUAUACCCACCUGUCCACCUGACCAGCUUCUUCUCAUGCUCCAGUGUCUGUUGAAGGCUCAUUUCCCCAGAGGUGCCUCCCCUGACCACCCCAUCUCAAACGCAGCCCGUCUCACUAAUUCCUGUCUUCCCACUGCCCAGUCAAUGUCUUCCUAGCCGUCAGUGCUACCUGACAUUGUCUAUGCGCCCCCUUCCUAGUGACCUCUUAUUACCUCAACUAGAGUGGGAGGUCCUCAGGACAUUCCUGUUGAAUAGAUAUCUUCAGGGGAAUAAAGGACCUUUAUUUUGAUCUUACGGCAAAUGUAAAGAAAAGUCGCACAGAUGUGUGCAAAUCUUACUGUACAUCUCCAUGGAUUAGAUAAAGAAGAUUUCUUUCUGUUCCCUAUUUUCCCUACCCCAGUAUCUCCUCUUACCUUUAAGGAGUAAGGUUUUGACAUUGUUGAUGGAACUUACUAGGUUCUUCUCACAUCUUUAUCUUAGCUCAUGAGCCCUCCCCUAGAUGCACCUUGUCUGCUUUUUGUAGAAGGAACUUUCCUAUCUCGUUCCCCACUGCAGAGUGCUCUGCUGCUGAGUUGCAGAAACAUUUUAGCUCACAGAUGUCCACUUUUUAAACAGUGCUGUCUCUGCUUCUUUGAAAAAUGCCAGCCAUUUAAUCAUGCCUUCUGCUUCAAGUUCACCGUGACGAUGGCUAAUAAGCUUGGGAUUGUUCUGUCUCCAUCGCUCUGUGCUGGGAGAGCCUCUGUGGGCUCAUGUAAGCCAAACAAAGACUUCUCGCUAUUCCUUGACUUUUCUCUUUCAUCUCUCCAGUCUUUUUACCUGGCUCUGAUUAGUGCAUCUGGAAUUUGAAGACCAAAUGCAACAGAGACACACAGAGAGUCACAGAGCUGGCAUAGACCACCAGAGGUGGGCUGAUAUUUUCUCUUGGAAGAUAAACUCAAAGAAAGAAAAAAAAUGGAUUUUAUCAUCUACCAUGGUCCAUAGUAAACACAGAAAACCGCCCUCUGCUCAGUGGGCAGCUCAUUCACAUUCAUUCACUUUUCCAACAAAUACAAAGUCCCUAAUCAGCGUCAGCGCUGCCCAGGUGCUACUCACCUGUGUGGCCCAGCAUGCAGAGUUGAAUAGCUAUUCUUUUCUAUAUGCUUAUUUCAUGCUUUUAGAAAUAAAAUCAUCAUCUUGAGUGUAGCAGAAGUGGUCAGAAUCAAAAUGUAAUCGGUUAUGUCAACUUUAACAACAAUAACCAAAAACAACUAAGUCGGAGAGAUUACAAAGGAAGGAUUUUUACUCAUGGCUACCUUUUAGCUACUACCACAAAGGACUGUGAGAGCACCACCUUGCACAGAGCCCACUGCGACCUUAUACAAAGAGCACUUGUAUGAAGACAGCUGCCAGGCAAUAUCUGCUCAACCCUGGACGGAGGCUACUCUUGCUAUUGGUCAUCAUGGCCCAACCUUAUUAUUGCAAAAUAUCUGAUGCAAUCAUCCUAUUUCUAUAUUUUUUAUUUGGCUAGGGUCUCCUUAUGUUGCCCAAUCUAGCUUUGAACUCAAGAUACUUCUGCCUCAGCAAUCCAAGCAUCAUCCUUUUCUUUAAAAAAUCUUCCCCUUGUCACCGGGUAUCAAGGUGCACACCUGUAAUCCCUCCCAGCUACUCAGGAGGCUGAAGCAGGAGGAUCAUAAAUUAGAGGCCAGCCUGGGCAACUUAGCAAGAUCAUGUCUGAAAGUAAAAAUAAACUGAGCUGGGGAUUUAGCUCAGGGAUAAAGUGUAGCUGGGUUAGAUCCCUGAUACCAUGAAAAACAAAGCAAAGUAAAACAGAACCAAACGAAAACAAAACUUCCCCUUGCCUCAGCCUCUUGAAUACACUCAUGGUUUCCUAGGGUGUGUGUGAAUCUCUGCUUCAUUCACUGCAAAAAGAUUUCCAAAUAAACAUUAGUUUUUGGAGAAUCUAUUUCUAUUUAUUUAUUUAUUUUAAUUUAGGUCAAUAGUGUGAUAGACUGAGAAAAGUCCACCAAUUCCUGUCUUCCUUUUUCCUUUGGCUGUAGACUCCCAGAGUCCCUGUGGACACGUGAUGAUUCUCAGCCUCCACCGUUAGCGUAGCUGUGUGAGUAGGGCCUCAAGAAGUGAGCAGAGCCUUGUGCAUGACACAGAAAGUCGCUAAAAGCAGAGUGUGGGGUGUGCCCCUCCUCCUUUCCUCUCCUUUCUUGCUGAAUGAAGAAAUGCAGACGUGGUAGUCAGUGCUGAGAAGGCAUUCGGACCAUGGGUGGAAGUGAGGUGCACGAGAUAAUAGAAAACCAAGACUUCUAACAGGUUUUUUUGAAGACAGACAUCAGAUGAUACCAUGUGUGGUGGUUAAUCUGAAUCGUCAACUUGAUUGAAGAGUAAAAGGCUCCUGGCUGGGUCCGUGAGGACGUUUCUGGGAAUGAUUGGCAGGUGGGAUGGCAGACUGAGGGGAAACCCACCUUAAAUGUGGGCAGCACUGUCCACGGUUCCAUAGGUCAGGGGCCUGGAUGGAAGAAGAAGCUGGAAGAACAGGAAAGGUGAUGCAGAUCCGAGCUCCGUUCUUCCUGAGAAGGUGCUUUGAUUCUGCCAGGGUCCCCCAAGGUCAUCCCCAAGGUCAUCACACUCCAGCUCCUUCACCCUUCCAAGGUGACUUCUGACGGGUGACUGUCCGGGGGAUUCCAGGCCUUUGACCCUGGACUGGGGCUGCAUCAUCGGUCUCUCUCCUUCUGAGGCUGCAGCUUGUGGGACGACGCAGCUCUCCAGCCUGCUAACGUCCACUGUAGGACUAUCCAGAUUCCAGUCGUUGAAGCCAAUUGAAUACAUCCCCUUUUUAUAACCAGACCUACCUGUAUAGACUGCUGGCUCUGUUCGUCCAGAGAACUGUUUUAGUCAGAUUUCCUGCUGCUGUGACCACAACAUCUGACCACAAUGAUUUUAGAGGAGGGACUGUUUACUUGGGGCCCAUGGCUCCAGAGACCUCAAUCCAUAGACAGCUGGCUCCAUUCCUCUGGGCUCAAGAGGAGGCAGAACAUCAUGGCGGAGGAGUGUAGCGGAGGGAAGUGGCUCACAUGAUGAUCAGCAGGAGAGAGAGAGAGAGAGAGAGAGAGAGAUCUCCACUGGCCAGAUACAAAAUAUGUACCCCAAAAGCACGCCCCGCCUCCUCCAGCCACACCCUACCUGCCUUCAGGAACCACUCAGUUAAUCUCUAUUAGGGGAUUAAUUCACUGAUUGGAUCAAGGCCGUCAUAAUCCAAUCAUGGGGGACACCUCACAUCCAGAUGAUGAUGAUGACUGAUCUAGAAGGGGCGACAGUUUCUGACCCAUGGUGCCUAUAGAGAGUGGUUUUCUUGGGAGGAGAGUGCUCAUCCCUGCAGAGUCAAGACGCACUCAGGAAUUGGAUGCACCACAUACAGGGGGGCUGCGCUGACGGGAUCGUGUCUGUAUUCUGAGCAGUCAGCCUCCUAGGGCGCCUCACCACCCUCCUCAGUCAGGCAUGUGAUUCCUCCAAAUUCUCCUCCUCCUACUUCCAGGGAUGAGUCAAGAGUGUUGUUCUUUGGAGAAACUAAGCAGGAAAGAAAUGCUGGAUGUGGGGAAACCAAAUGAAUUGCAGCAUGGAGCAGAAGAUAUGUGAAAAUCAAGGAAAUGUCUAUAAGAGAAACAAUUGGGCGUAAGACUUUUUUCUCUCUUUUUCUUUCUCAGAAGACCCUUGGCAGAGUGUGCAUGACAGGUUGUGUCUUCUAGGUCAUCUGUAAGAGACACAUUUGGUUGCAUAGAAACAAGCAGGUUGAUAAUAAAAGGAUGGUAUGAUAUCUACCUGGCAGAGAGAAGCGAAAAAGAACUAUGUUGGCUCUGCUAAUAUCAGACAAAUAGAUUUUGAACAAAGAAAUAUCGCCAGAGAAGAGAGGGCCAUUUCAUAAUAAUAAAAGGGUAAAUAUAUCAGAAAGAUGUAGUGGGUGUAAGUGCACCCAACAGCAGGCUCUCAAAACACAGUAAUUAAGAACUGAUAAAACCAAGAGGAGAAAGAGACAUUUGGACAAUUGUAAUUGAAGGCUUUCUCAGUAAUCGAUAAAACAAUAUUCAGAAAGUCAGGAAGGGUAUAGAAGACCUGAACGAUACUAUCAACCACUGGAACUAAUUGACAUAAAGAAGUACCCUUCUAUCCUUGACUUCACAUUCCAUGGCUUCAGAUACCCACAGUCAACUAUUCGAUGAAAGAACAUUCCUUGCAAUUUCCAGCAUCUGGUGGCGGGCAGCCUUCCUUGGCUUCUGGUUACACUGGCUGGCCUUCAACUUUAUAUCACCUUCUCUUCUCCCUCUGCCAUUCUCUUAGAAGAACAUCCAUACUGCAUUUUCCAGAAUAAUCCCAAGAUCCUUCAUGUAAUCACAUCUGUGAAGAGCAUAUUAUGUAAGUCAGUUUUCUGUUGCUGUGACAAAUACCUAAGAUAAAUGAACUUAAAGAGAGAAAAGGUUUAUUUUGGUUUGUGAUUCCAGUCCACAGUCGCUUGGCCCUGUUACUUUGGGCCUGUACACAGUAUAUCACAGCAGAAGCUUCUGGAAAAGGAGACUGUUCACCUCAUGGAGGCCAGAAAGCAAAUAGAGGGAGGAGGUGGGAGUCUAGUAUCCCCUUCAAGGACAUGUCCCUAGUGACCUCCACUUCCGCCCACUAGGACCCACCUCCUAAGUAUUUCCCAAUAGUGCCAUGGAUGGGCCACCAAGUCUUCAGCAUGUAGGUCUUUGGGGGACCCUUAUCAAAUCAUGGCACAUACAGUAUGCUAUUUAUAGGUCCCAAGGAUUGGGACAUGAACAUCCUUUGGGAGAUAAUUGUUUUUUAGUGUAUUAUACAAGUGCCCAUAAACUUUAAAAGGUUAAAGUAAUACAAAGUGUGUUCUAUGACUAAAACAGUAUAAAUUAGCAAUCAACUAGAUAAAUAAAUAUGGAAAUUUAUCACAUAUUUGGAAACCAAACCACAAGCUUCUUAAUAUUCAUAAAUCAAAGAAAUCACCCACAAAAUUAAAAAUGUCUCAAACUGAAAAGGAAAGCCCAACUUUUCAAAACUUAGAGGAUGCAGAAAAAAGACAUCUUAGAGAAAUAAAAAUGAAUAUGUUUAAACUCCUGUAUUUGAAAAGAAAAAGGUUCUAAAAAAAGGAUUGCUUAAGCUUUCUCAUCAAGAAGCUCUAAAAAGAAGAGUGAAUUAAAACAAGAGUAAAGAGAAGGAAGGAAAUAAUAAAAAUCAAGGCAAAAAUCAAGGAAAGAAACGAAAGAUCAUGACAGAAAAUCAAACAACAAAAAUGUGUGUUGGAAAGAUCAACAAAGUACAUACACUUAGGGAAACUGAUUAAGAAAAAAAAGAAGGGAAGACACCAAUUGCAAACUUUUGAAUGUAUUUAUUCUUUCUAGUUGUUUUUUUUUUCUCUUCUUUUUUUUUUCAGGGGGGUGGGUUAGGGAAAGAAUUUCUACACAGGCCAUCAUACUACCUGCCAUUAGAACAGCUUUCCAGACUUAUUUUGUUGCCUAGAACUUCAUAAUUAUCAUACUGAAUAGAAGGGAUGGGAUACGACAUUCUUGCUCUGCUCUGUCUUAGGGAAAAGUAGUCAGCUUUUUACCAGUAAAUACGAUAUUAGUGUUAGGGUUUUUGCUCAUGUCUCUAUCAAGUUGAGGAAGUUCCCCUUUAUUCCUAGUUUCCUAAGAAUUUUUAUCAUGAUUGGUUGUUGAAUUAGGUAAAAAUAUUUUCCAACAUCAAUUGACAUAGUCCUAUGAUUUUUCUUCUUUAGCUUGUUCACAUGGUGGAUUGCACUGAUUGCUUUUCAAAUAUUGAGCCAGACUGGCGUAUCUGGAAUAAAUCUCAGAUGAGCUCUGCCUGCUGGUACUUGAGAAUUUUUUGUCUGUUUAUGAGGGAUAGAGCUCUGUAGUUUUCUCUUUCCUUGAACUGUCUUUGUUUAGUUUUGGUAUCAGGGCAAUACUGUCUUCGUGGAAUAAAGUGAGAACUAUUUCCUCUUCUAUUUUCUGGAACAUGUUGUAUAGAAUGGGCUUAUGCAAUGUUUGGUUGAAUGUUCUCCAGAAAAAAAACAACUAGUGCUGGAGACUCUUUUUCCAGGAGAUUUUAAAUGAUCAACUUCCUCUGAAAUGAUAAAGCUUAUCAGAUUAUCUUCUUUGUACUCAGUGAGCUGUAGUGCUUUGUACUUUUCAAGGUCCUUUCACAUAAGUUGCCAAUAUUAUACAUGUAGUUAUCAGGGGUUUUUGUUUUGUUUUGUUUUUUUACAUAGUCAUUCUCUUCCGAAGCCCACAGUUUGUAUGGCGCUAUUCCCAAUCCUGAUAUUAGCAACUUCUAAACUUCUCUCAUCUAUUUUAUCAGUCUUGCAAGAAGUUGUCAAUUUUAUCAAAUCUUUUCCAAGAACUAAUUUUUAUUCCUAGUGUUUUCCUACUUUUAAAUUUGGUUUCUACUCUUUUCUAAUAUUUUAUUCUGUUGGCUUUGGAUUUGUUUUUCUUUGUCUGGAGUCUUCACUAAGGAACUUGGUUAUUGAUUUCUAACGUAAACUUUUAGCAUUUUACAUUUCUCUCUUGGCACCAUGUGAUUCCAUCCAACCUGUUGUGAAAUGUUUUAUUUUCAUUUUCGUUCACUUUUUAUUGCCUGGAGACUCCUCUUUGACCUAUGGCUUACGUAGAAGUGUGUCAUUUAAUUUCCAUGCAUUUAGAGAUUUUUCCUGUUUUCUUUCUUUUUUUUUUAAUUUCUACUUUGAUUCCAUUAUAGGAAGAGGAAAUACUCUGUAUGAUUAUAAUUAUUUUGGAUUUGUUGAGACUUGUUUUGUAGUUCAGGAUGUGGUCUUGGUGAACGGUCUAUAGACAUCUGAAAAUCAGAAAAGCAUGCAUUCUGCUGUAGUCGGGUGAGUAGUCUGUAUGUGUCAAUCAGAUCCUAUGGCUGAUAUCAUUCUAUAUUCUUCCUGGUUGUUUUCUCUAGAAGUGCCAUCAGCUGUUGGUAAGAAGGAAAUGCGGAAGUCUCCAAGUGCAAGGUUUUUACUUGUUUCUUUCAUCUUCAGUUCCAUUGGUUUUUGCAUCAUACAUUUUGAGGCCAUAUUGUUUGGUGGUAUACUUUGGAUCUGUAAUGAGCCCCACCCCUAAAAGCUCACAAUUUGAAAGCAUGUUCUUGUUACAGCAAGAUUCUGAAGUGGGACUUUUAGACAAUGAUUGGAUCAUGGGAGCUCUGAAUCCAUCAUUUAAUUAAUUAAUCAAUCCAUUAAUAGCUUAGUGGUGGUAACUGUAGGCAAAGGAGGCAUGGCUGGAGGAAUAGGUCACUGGGGGCAUGCCCUUGGGGACUAUAUCUGUCCCUGGUCCCUUCCUGUUACACUCUCUCACUGUCUCUCUCUGCUUUCUGGCUGCCAUAGGCUGAAAAUAUCUCCUCUCCACCAUAAUGUUUCUGCCUUGGGUUCUGCUGACCGUGAACUGAACUUUGAAACCAUGGUCCCAAAUAAACCUUUUCUCCUCUAAGUUGUUCUCAUCGGGUGUUUCGGUCACAGUGAGACACGACUGACUAAUGUAUUUGGUGGGUAUUGUUAUAUAAUUUUCCUCUACAUCUCUAGAAAUUCAAUCUGAUAUUCAUAUAACCCCUUGUGUCUUUAAAAAUGUGAACGUGAGAUGUCAUUUUUCUUCCACUGACUUUAAACCUCCUAUAUUAAGCACGAGAUGAAUAUUACGUAAAUAGACGUGAUUUUGCACCUCCAGUGAGUGUGCACACCUCACCUUCUUUCAAGUCCCCUUGUUUUCCCAUCUAAGUUGGAUGGUCUAGACUAUCAAAUGGUAUUAUAAUUCUGUUUCCAUCAUCAAUACGAUUUAUAACACUGAAGAGGAGUCGACUCUCUUUUAUGUGCCGAUUUUCUCCUGGUCUUUCUUCCUUUCUGAUCCUCCAGGUUCCUCAUUUUACCAUCGCCUUUCUGUGUGAGAACUUCCACUAGCCUUCUUAAGGGUGGCCUCCUGGUUGGUUCACCUGACUGACGCGUGGGACUCCCACUCAGUUCGGAGAAGAAGUUAGUCUGUCCAGGCUGCCCUGGGUUACGAGGCUGGGGUUGGGGGAUCCCAGGCCUGGGUUAUUGUUUUAGUCAACAUUUUUGCUGCUGUGACUUAAAGACCCAACCAGAACAAUUGUAGAGGAGAAAAAAAUCAUUUGAGGGCUCAUUGUUUCAGAGGUCUUAGUCCAUAGAAGGCUGGCCCCAUUCCUUGAGGCUCAAGGUGAGGCAGAGCAUCAUGGCGGGAGGGUGUGGCGGAGGGAACCAGCUCACAUGGUGAUCAGGAAGCAGAGAGGGAAGUCUCCACGUGUUUGUUUAUGUUUUGUUUCAUUUUUUAAAGUACUAGCUAUUGAACCCAGGGGUGCUCCACAUCCUUAGCCAUAUAUAUAUAUAAUUUUGAGGUGGGUCUCACUAAGUGACCCAAGUUGGCUCCAAACAUGUGAUCCUCCUGCCUCAGCCUCCGGAAUGACAUGAGUAGGUUCCACCACCUUUCUAUCUGGAAAUAAAUGGCUCUCUUUUAAGCCCCUUUAGCAGAUUUCUUUUUGUGUCUCAUUAGCCAGACCUGUGCCACGUGAUACCCUUAGGCCUCAGAAAGUCUAGAAAAGGACAGGGUCAGGUUCAUUGCUACCCAUAGCCAAAUCGGAUUCAAAGUAGAAAGACAGAAGCAUAGAAGGACCCUUGGGUGGGCAACUACUCAAGUACUGCACGCCUUUGCCUGUUGUUCUACUGGGUUCUUUGCGUUUCCUUCUUCAGCAUUUCUCUACCUAUUCAGAUUCUAACAUACUGUAAGUUCAGCACAUGAAGUUGUCUUCUCUAAGUGAAAGGUUCCUUUUGUGUUUUAUUUGGUAACAUUUUUUCCGUUAGUUUUUACGUUGUAGAUCCAAAAACCAAGCAGACAACUCUCCUUUGGUGGGGAUUGCUUGUUUUUUUUCACAGAAACCCCACAUUUCACGUGAUAUGGAGCUGAUCCUCCAGAGAAGCUGCAUGCUCGUUUCCUGAGGCCAGUUCUUGUCCCAGGACAGAGUUGUGAGUGUUUGCCCAUGUGGAGUCUCCUGGCCUGAGUGUAGCAUAAACUCCUCUCCAUGUGGCUCUGGGUUGAUGUUCUAAUGCCUAAUGAAAGAUAUCUUUCUAUCCAGAUAGUGAUUGGAAGAAGCCUCUUGGUCAUUACCUUGGCCAGUGGUAUGAUUCUUUUUUACUCUGUCUUAACAGAGAGUCUAAACUUCUCAAAAUCCCCAAUUUAUGCCAAGAUCUAAGCUUUGGGCCCAAAGCCUCAUUUCUUGUCUUUGACUGUUUGAACUCUAACUUGAUCUGAUACCAUUUUUUUUCCCCGCAAGAUGCUAUAGCCAGACCUUGCAUGGAAACGCUCCAGAUCUCCUUUCAAUCUUUGUUUCUGACAUUUUCUUUCCUGUGAGAUAAAGUGUACAUUUAAACACUUUUAUUUUUGCUCAGUUCUAUUCAGCAUUCUCAUAUUUGAAAUGGGAAAAAGGUUUCAUAUGUCUUCAGGCAUCACACUCAUGGAAGAGGAAGCCCCCUGAAUGUUUUAAUGGCUGUCCUAGCACAACUGGAUGCCUGUGAACACCACUAAGAGAUGUGGCCACUUCACAUCAAGGGAUGAUUUAAUUUGGAGUCUCCAAAUACUUUCUAUAGUUGUACACAGAGAUGAUAUUUUUCUACUGAAAUGAAAAUUAAUAGUGGCACAAUGUUCAAGAUUAAGCUUUGAACAUGAUAUCAUUGUUCAACAAAGAUGAUGGAUUAAAAUGAAGGGAUGAAGGGGAGAAUUUUUGCUCAGAUGCCUUAAUAUUCCUCCUAUGUUCCUUUUUUUUUGGGGGGGGGGUACCAGCAAUUGAACUGGAAGUGUUCAACCACUGAGCCACAUCCCCAACCCUUUACUUAUUUUUAUUUUUUUAAAAUUCUAAUUUGUUAUAUAUGACAGCAGAAUAUAUUACAAUUCAUAUUUCACAUAUAGAGCACAAUUUUUCAUAUUACUGGUUGUACACAAAGUAUAUUCACAGCAUUCAUGUCUUCAUACAUGUACUUAGGGUAAUGAUGUCCAUCUCAUUCCACCAUCUUUCCUGCCCCCAUGCCCCCUCCCUUCCCAUCCCACCCCUUUUCCCUAUCUGGAGUUUGUCUAACCCUCCCAUGCUCCACCGGCAACCCAUUAUGAAUCAGCCUCCUUAUAUCAUAGAAAACAUUUGGCAUUUGGUGUUUUGGGAUUGGCUAACUUUACUCAGCAUUAUAUUCUCCAACUCCAUCCAUUUACAUGUGAAUGCCAUGAUUUUAUUCUCUUUUAAUGCUGAACAACAUUUGAUUGUGUGUGUGUGUGUGUGUAAUUUUCUUUUACCAUUCAUCUACUAAAGGGCAUCUGGGUUGGUUCCACAAUUUAGCUAUUGUGAAUUGUGCUGCUAUGAACAUUGAUGUGGCUGUGUCUCUGUAGUAUGCUGUUUUUAAGUCCUUUGGGUAUAGAUCCAGGAGUGGGAUAGAUGGGUCAAAUGGUGGUUCCAUUCCCAGUUUUCCAAGGAAUCUCCAUACUGCUUUCCAGAUUGGCUGCACCCAUUUGCAGUCCCACCAGCAGUGUAUGAGUGUGCCUUUCCCCCCACAUCUUCACCAACACUUAAUGUUGUUUGUAUUCUUGAUAGCUGCCAUUCUGACUGGAGUGAGAUGAAAUCUUAGUAGUUUUGAUUUGCAUUUCUCUAAUUGCUAGAGAUGUUGAACAUUUUUUUCAUAUAUUUGUUGAUUGAUUGUAUAUCAUCUUCUGAUAAGUGUUUGUUCUGUUCCUUGGCCCAUUUUUUGAUUGGGUUAUUUGUUGGAUUUUUUUUUUGGUGUUUAUAUUUUUUAGUUCUUUAUAUAUCCUAGAGAUUAGUGCUCUAUCUUAUGUGCGUGUGGUAAAAAUUUGCUCCCCAAAUGUAGGCUCUCUAUUCACCUCACUGCUUGUGUCUUUUGCUGAGAAGAAGUUUUUUAGUUUGAAUUCAUUCCAUUUAUUGAUUCUUGAUUUUAAUUCUUGUGCUUAUUAAGGAAGUUGGAGCCUAAUCCAACAUGAUGGAGAUUUGGGCCUACUUUUUCUUCCAUUAUACACAGUGUCUCUGGUUUAAUUUCUAGGUCCUGGAUUCACUUUGAGUUGAGCUUUGUGCAUGGUGAGAGAUAGGGAUUUAAUUUUAUUCUGUUGUAUAUCGAUUUCCAGUUUUCCCAAUACCAUUUCUUAAAGAAGCUUUCUUUUCUCCAAUGUAUGUUUUUUCCAGCCCUUUAUUUUUGAAACAGCAUUUUGCUAAGUUGUUUAGAGCCUCACUAAGUUGCUGAGGCUGGCUUUGAACUAACAAUCCUCCUGCCUCAGCCUCCCCAGCUCCUGGGAUUAUAGUCAUGUGCUGCUACACCCAGCUUUCCUCCUAGUUCUGCUACAUACAUGAGUAGCCUAGGCAAGGACGGGAGGAGGAAGGGACACCAACUUGGAGAUUGAAUUACGUAGCUCUUACAAGAGGAGGGUUUAGAUAAAAGACAUUUGCUUAGGAUCACUGAAAAGAUUAUAUCAGAUUCAUAUAUUUGAGUUCUCUCGAUAAUUUUUAAAGCAAUAGGGAAGAGUUAAAUCAAACAUCAAUUAUCUACAUUUCAAAUAUCUGUUUAUAUUGCAGGAGGAGUUCAAACAGACUCAUUGAAUGACCUGGAUGCUUUGAAUAUAAAUUGAAGAAAUGACGUUGUGAUUCCUCAGUCUGAAGAAAUACAAUUAUCAUCGCUACUAGCCUUGAAUUAAGCAUUUCUUUAUAGAUGAAUACACUCUUUGAAAUAGAAGAAUCUUCUGUGAAUCAUUUAAUCCCCUCUCCACAAAGAGGCACUCUUUGCAUAAAUAAUUUUGAGCAUUCAGGCUGGCUAUCUUCUGCAGUGCUGUUGCCUCCAAUAAAUCCUUCCUGCAUUGGAUGUAUCUGGUUCUAAAUUCAUCCCAGGGAAAAACAGUAGGAAAGAGCCACACAUUUUUCUUGGGUAUUCCUGUCUGGAAAAUUGAAUGAAGGUCCCCCUGUUGCUCACCUGCCUUUCUCUUUUAUUAUCUUGGGCUAAAUACACUAGU
rnacentral:lncRNA from 1 species